rnacentral:rRNA from 1 species
GACGAACCGUGCGAACGUUAUUCGGAAUCACUGGGCUUAAAGCGCGUGUAGGCGGGCCGGCACGUCGGUCGUUGAAACCGUCCCCGGCUCGAACGGGGAGGGCGCCGAUACGACCGGCCUGGAGGAACGUAGGGGGAGCUGGAACUUCCGGUGGAGCGGUGAAAUGCGUUGAGAUCGGAAGGAACGCCCGUGGCGAAAGCGAGCUCCUGGACGUUUUCUGACGCUGAGACGCGAAAGCCAGGGGAGCGAACGGG